rnacentral:rRNA from 1 species
GGGUUGUGAGGUUAAGCGACUAAGCGUACACGGUGGAUGCCCUGGCAGUCAGAGGCGAUGAAGGACGUGCUAAUCUGCGAUAAGCGUCGGUAAGGUGAUAUGAACCGUUAUAACCGGCGAUUUCCGAAUGGGGAAACCCAGUGUGUUUCGACACACUAUCAUUAACUGAAUCCAUAGGUUAAUGAGGCGAACCGGGGGAACUGAAACAUCUAAGUACCCCGAGGAAAAGAAAUCAACCGAGAUUCCCCCAGUAGCGGCGAGCGAACGGGGAGCAGCCCAGAGCCUGAAUCAGUGUGUGUGUUAGUGGAAGCGUCUGGAAAGGCGCGCGAUACAGGGUGACAGCCCCGUACACAAAAAUACACAUACUGUGAGCUCGAUGAGUAGGGCGGGACACGUGGUAUCCUGUCUGAAUAUGGGGGGACCAUCCUCCAAGGCUAAAUACUCCUGACUGACCGAUAGUGAACCAGUACCGUGAGGGAAAGGCGAAAAGAACCCCGGCGAGGGGAGUGAAAAAGAACCUGAAACCGUGUACGUACAAGCAGUGGGAGCACGCUUAGGCGUGUGACUGCGUACCUUUUGUAUAAUGGGUCAGCGACUUAUAUUCUGUAGCAAGGUUAACCGAAUAGGGGAGCCGAAGGGAAACCGAGUCUUAACUGGGCGUUAAGUUGCAGGGUAUAGACCCGAAACCCGGUGAUCUAGCCAUGGGCAGGUUGAAGGUUGGGUAACACUAACUGGAGGACCGAACCGACUAAUGUUGAAAAAUUAGCGGAUGACUUGUGGCUGGGGGUGAAAGGCCAAUCAAACCGGGAGAUAGCUGGUUCUCCCCGAAAGCUAUUUAGGUAGCGCCUCGUGAAUUCAUCUCCGGGGGUAGAGCACUGUUUCGGCAAGGGGGUCAUCCCGACUUACCAACCCGAUGCAAACUGCGAAUACCGGAGAAUGUUAUCACGGGAGACACACGGCGGGUGCUAACGUCCGUCGUGAAGAGGGAAACAACCCAGACCGCCAGCUAAGGUCCCAAAGUCAUGGUUAAGUGGGAAACGAUGUGGGAAGGCCCAGACAGCCAGGAUGUUGGCUUAGAAGCAGCCAUCAUUUAAAGAAAGCGUAAUAGCUCACUGGUCGAGUCGGCCUGCGCGGAAGAUGUAACGGGGCUAAACCAUGCACCGAAGCUGCGGCAGCGACGCUUAUGCGUUGUUGGGUAGGGGAGCGUUCUGUAAGCCUGCGAAGGUGUGCUGUGAGGCAUGCUGGAGGUAUCAGAAGUGCGAAUGCUGACAUAAGUAACGAUAAAGCGGGUGAAAAGCCCGCUCGCCGGAAGACCAAGGGUUCCUGUCCAACGUUAAUCGGGGCAGGGUGAGUCGACCCCUAAGGCGAGGCCGAAAGGCGUAGUCGAUGGGAAACAGGUUAAUAUUCCUGUACUUGGUGUUACUGCGAAGGGGGGACGGAGAAGGCUAUGUUGGCCGGGCGACGGUUGUCCCGGUUUAAGCGUGUAGGCUGGUUUUCCAGGCAAAUCCGGAAAAUCAAGGCUGAGGCGUGAUGACGAGGCACUACGGUGCUGAAGCAACAAAUGCCCUGCUUCCAGGAAAAGCCUCUAAGCAUCAGGUAACAUCAAAUCGUACCCCAAACCGACACAGGUGGUCAGGUAGAGAAUACCAAGGCGCUUGAGAGAACUCGGGUGAAGGAACUAGGCAAAAUGGUGCCGUAACUUCGGGAGAAGGCACGCUGAUAUGUAGGUGAAGUCCCUCGCGGAUGGAGCUGAAAUCAGUCGAAGAUACCAGCUGGCUGCAACUGUUUAUUAAAAACACAGCACUGUGCAAACACGAAAGUGGACGUAUACGGUGUGACGCCUGCCCGGUGCCGGAAGGUUAAUUGAUGGGGUUAGCGCAAGCGAAGCUCUUGAUCGAAGCCCCGGUAAACGGCGGCCGUAACUAUAACGGUCCUAAGGUAGCGAAAUUCCUUGUCGGGUAAGUUCCGACCUGCACGAAUGGCGUAAUGAUGGCCAGGCUGUCUCCACCCGAGACUCAGUGAAAUUGAACUCGCUGUGAAGAUGCAGUGUACCCGCGGCAAGACGGAAAGACCCCGUGAACCUUUACUAUAGCUUGACACUGAACAUUGAGCCUUGAUGUGUAGGAUAGGUGGGAGGCUUUGAAGUGUGGACGCCAGUCUGCAUGGAGCCGACCUUGAAAUACCACCCUUUAAUGUUUGAUGUUCUAACGUUGACCCGUAAUCCGGGUUGCGGACAGUGUCUGGUGGGUAGUUUGACUGGGGCGGUCUCCUCCUAAAGAGUAACGGAGGAGCACGAAGGUUGGCUAAUCCUGGUCGGACAUCAGGAGGUUAGUGCAAUGGCAUAAGCCAGCUUGACUGCGAGCGUGACGGCGCGAGCAGGUGCGAAAGCAGGUCAUAGUGAUCCGGUGGUUCUGAAUGGAAGGGCCAUCGCUCAACGGAUAAAAGGUACUCCGGGGAUAACAGGCUGAUACCGCCCAAGAGUUCAUAUCGACGGCGGUGUUUGGCACCUCGAUGUCGGCUCAUCACAUCCUGGGGCUGAAGUAGGUCCCAAGGGUAUGGCUGUUCGCCAUUUAAAGUGGUACGCGAGCUGGGUUUAGAACGUCGUGAGACAGUUCGGUCCCUAUCUGCCGUGGGCGCUGGAGAACUGAGGGGGGCUGCUCCUAGUACGAGAGGACCGGAGUGGACGCAUCACUGGUGUUCGGGUUGUCAUGCCAAUGGCACUGCCCGGUAGCUAAAUGCGGAAGAGAUAAGUGCUGAAAGCAUCUAAGCACGAAACUUGCCCCGAGAUGAGUUCUCCCUGACCCUUUAAGGGUCCUGAAGGAACGUUGAAGACGACGACGUUGAUAGGCCGGGUGUGUAAGCGCAGCGAUGCGUUGAGCUAACCGGUACUAAUGAACCGUGAGGCUUAACCUUACAACGCCGAAGGUGUUU